UAGUGAUGACAUUGUGGACAAGCUGC
rnacentral:piRNA from 2 species